GACGAACGCUGGCGGCGUGCUUAACACAUGCAAGUCGAACGAUGAAGCCGGAGCUUGCUCUGGUGAAUUAGUGGCGAACGGGUGAGUAACACGUGAGUAACCAGCCCUUGACUCUGGGAUAACUGCGGGAAACUGUAGCUAAUACCGGAUACGACCCUCGGAGGCAUCUCCUGGGGGUGGAAAGAAUUUCGGUCAAGGAUGGACUCGCGGCCUAGCAGCUAGUUGGUGAGGUAAAGGCUCGACAAGGCCACGACGGGUAGCCGGCCUGAGAGGGUGACCGGCCUCACUGGGACUGAGACACGGCCCAGACUCCUACGGGAGGCAGCAGUGGGGAAUAUUGCACAAUGGGCGCAAGCCUGAUGCAGCAACGCCGCGUGAGGAACGACGGCCUUCGGGUUGUAAACCUCUUUUAGUAGGGAAGAAGCGAAAGUGACGGUACCUGCAGAAAAAGCACCGGCUAACUACGUGCCAGCCGCCGCGGUAA
rnacentral:rRNA from 1 species